GUUUGUCUUUGUGUAAUCAACUGAACAUAAUAAAAUACUUCACAAAACACGUCUAAAUGGACUCCUUUCUCCUCCUAUUCACAUUGCUUUAUCUAAAAGCAGAUUUCAGUGACGGUGUUCUGAUCACACAAUGGCCGAAGUACAUAUCCAGUCUUCCAGGCUCUUCAGUUCAAAUGUACUGUUACCAGAACGAUACAAACUAUGACUACAAAUACUGGUACAGACAAAUAAAAGGUGAAGGACCGGUGCUUAUUGGGAACAACAAUUUUAACUCUCCCUCUAAUGAGAAGGGUUUUGAGACCGGCUUCACAGUGUCAGGUACAGAGACAAAGAAAUGGACCCUGAAAGUUGAUGUUAAGGAGGGGACUGAUGCUGUGUAUCUGUGUGCUGCCAGUUAUACACAAUGAAUGAACGGCAAUAAGUUAUACAACAAAAACUCUUUGGAUGACAACCUGCAAAUCACACCUGCCUCAACCACAA